GGAAAGAAUCCCGCAAUUCAACCAACAAUUUACAACUUGAUUGGAAAGGAUUUGAGCUCCAAAUAAACAACGUUUUUCAUGUUCACUGUAGAGAGAGAGACUUAAAUCAUCAAGUCUUUUCAUAAUGAACCGAAGCUAUCGAUUGAGUUGCAAAGCAGCACCUUCUGCAACCUUGAAAUUCCUAAAUCGCCCCGAAUUUCCUAAAUCUCCACCUACAUAUUUCGCCCCAAAAAAUGCACAAUCCAAAAGACACACCAAAAAUACACCCGAAAGUGAUUGGAACCCUGCAAACUUCACCUAAAAUUUACCUACAUCACCUAGAAAUAUCGGUUAAAUCAAUCGAUUCCAGCUUUAUGCUUAGCUAAAAUGGCCAGAAAACUAUUUAGAAUCAUGAAAAAUCAUCGCAAAUUUUCCCAGAUUUCUCUGUUUUAUUGACCGGCGGAUUUCAGUCCCUUCCCUCAACCCUCUGUGAGAGAAAUUUCUGGAAAUUUGACGGAAAAAUUUGUUGAUGAUCAUAUAUUUGUAUUGUGAUUUUUGUGUCGGCAAGAUCAGCAACAUAGUUGAUUGAGUGGACCUUUGGUUUUGGAGAGAGAGACAGGGCUUCCUGGUUCCGAGGAAAGAUAGCUGUCCGGUAUUUAAAACACCGGACAGCUGAUCCGUAGGCCAAGAGUGAACUAUUCUCUCUUUCUCACAUCUGUAUGGAGGGCGGCAAUUCCAGAAGCUUAUCUUGCAUCUCUCAUCCUUCUAUAAAAGGUUAUGUUUUUUGUGUGCAAACCCUUGGCUCUACAUUCUUCAAUUCAGUCCAUGCCUGUAAAAAGGCCUGCCGGUCAAUGGCCAUAUAUGAUCUGGUUAGUGGAAAGAGAAAUUCAAGGUUCUGUUUUUGGUUCUAUCAGUAAUAGUUUGAGUUCGACUCUUGGGAAUUUGUGGCUUCAAGGAACCAUGAGGCUAAUAUUUCAAAUUCACAAUCAAAUAUAGGUACUGAAUUAGAGCGAGAGAUAAAGUUGGUCGUGGCAGAAGAAACUCAACUUUAUAGUAAGCACAGGAGCAGCAAAAGACUCCUUGCUUUGGUCGGUCAGUUGGUACAGUCAGUCAGUAAGUCAAUCCGGGUAGGAAGAGUAGCUACGACGUAUGCCCUUCGGUUUCGAGGACUAGUGUUCUUACUUGAAAGAAAGAAAAGGGAGCAGGCCUUCAAGUUCUGGUUCGAAUUCAACACUUUGAAAAUUGUUAGCUUGAGGAGAUAGAAGGAGUAAUGUUCCAGAAAUGCAUUUGGGUAUUGAACCAGAGAAGAAUCUGAGAUUGGUUGCAGUUAGAGAUUGGUCAAAUUAACAGUGAUUUCGUUAUUGAAACUGGGUCUCGAACUUGGGUUUCGUCUUCUGAAGAUUUGGAAACAAUGGAAACCCAUGUACAGUUUACCGGUAAUUCAGUUACUGGAAAUGGGUCCGAGGAAUCUUGCCCUUUAAUUGGUCGUGGGGUUUGUUUUUCUUCUAAUAAGGGAUUAUAAAUAUUGAAAUUAAUGUAGAGAGAUGUCCAAAUUUAAUGUAUGUGAAGCAAAAUCGGGCGAGGCUUGUUGCUUCAAGGACUAUCAAGCUUGGUUUCGGCAAUUUCAUAUUUCAUAUUGAGCUGAUUGCAAGGGCAGCCAUGUAUGAUUUCAUGGGUAUGUAUGCUUAUUACCUUGCAAUUAUAGUUGGGUAUUACCUUGCAAUUAUAGUUGGGCAUGGCGUAACUCUAAGGCUCUUCGCUUUCUACUGAGAGCACUUCUGGCAUUCCUAGUGUCUUAUAAAAAUCCUUUAUUUUAGAUACCUCUUCAAGACUUUGUCAACAAAUGACCAACAAAAAAAAGAAGAAUGAAAUGUAUUGGGUCAAAAUUUGUUGUAAAGGAGCCAAACAGACACAUCUAGACGAUAAAAUCUGCUUCUAGUUUUUCACAGACAUAUUUCUCAAUGUUUUUUUUUUCACAGACAUUCAAUCAGUUUACCAGCACAAUGAAACAAAAUUAACAAGAUUUUCUAAUUCAGGGUGAAAUAGUUUACAGUUUUUUGUUUUGUUUUGUUUUUUUUUUUUUUAAUUUGAAAGUUUUUUAUUUGACAUCCAAACUGGCCGUAAUUUUUUUUUGGGUUCUUUUUGAGAAAAAGAAUCCCAGGGUGGAUCAAGAACCUUAAAUAGGCUCUGGAUUCAAAGCACGUCAAGGAUCGACCCAAAUUUGCUAAGCUUUCAAAUUUUUUUUGAAUUCGGUCAAACCCUUGCCUGAUACCUUAGAUCUCAAAAACCUGUGAAAUCCAAUGUUUUCUCUUGAAUCCAAUGUUUUUAAUGGGAAGAUCAAGCAAGAAUAUCUGGUUGAGGGUUAAAUUUGGGUGAAAGUAGGGGACUCUAGGGCUCAAAAACGAAGAAAAAAAAAUACGAAAAGGGGCAGAAACUCUGUUCAUGAGCAGUACUCGGGCCUGUACUUUGCAGACCUGCCCUAUACAGGGUAACCAAGGAAUCCGCAGAAGCUGCUCUGGCCAUAUGACACCUGGCUGAGGCAAACAGGAAAUCCUUACAUUGGGGUGGAACCAGGAAAGCACAUCAGAAAUCGUUCACUUGAAAAAAUAUGAUAAAACAUACCAUAUUCAAGAUGUAAGCCGCAUUCAUACUAUAGCGUUUGAAAGAUUGCUUGAAUUUCAAUUACCAUAAUCGCAGACAAACCCAGAUCGAGACAAGUCGAGUUAUAAGUCACUGAGUCUAGGUGACUGAGGUAAUUGACUCUACUUGCAACAACUUUUUAAUCCUUGCUCUAAUUUUGUCAAACAUUACCAUAUCUUCUAUGAUUAAGGCGCAUGUAGCAGAGUUCUAUGCGGGGUGUACCUGUCCAAAGAAUAGCUUCCGUUAUUACUUGUGGUGUUUGGUAGUCUGGCGCCAAGA